GGAUUUGUGUGUCCCACAUGACUGUGUUUCCCCUGUCUUUCACAUGGGCAGUAUUUAGUUCAAUUCAGAACUGCAGAUAGUAUAGCGUGCAGAGCAGCAAUGGGAUGUCUGAGCACAAGUAGCUGACUUCCAGGCGACUUCAGGAAGCUCAUUUGUACAUUUCUCCUGAAUUAUCUGGGAUUCUGCACCCUUGACAUUCUCCAACCCUCCUUGUCGCUGCAGGAGGAGACAGCGACCUGCACAGCACAACAAAACUACAAAUCACCACAGAGCUACAGACCAGCAAUGAAGAGAGCUGAGGGCAAUAUGACCAACAUCAUCUGUGUCAGUUCCCCAGAAGUCGAUGAAACAUGUGAUCAGGUCUCCAAGACCACAAGACUCGGAAGAUCACUGUGGAACAAAGACACUGGGCCAGCCCAUUCUGUUGAUAUGACACAAAGUCCAGCCCAGUUUGGCAUUCCUUCCACCAUGAAGGAGUCUCACAUCAGGAGAACAGUAGAUUAGACUUCUACCGACUCUGAGAGACGGGGAGUGGAGCCAGCAGCAAUAUUUAGCAGAGUGACUGAUUUCUGGCACCAUCUAGCUUCUCUGCAACAGGAAUCUGGCAGCCUGGUCAGGCCAUCAAGAGGAGGAAAAGGACAGAAGACUGAAGAUGAGAUGCUCUACUUCACACAGUUGCCCUCUGGAAGGACUUGCAAAGGCAGUCACUUAAAUUAAGUGCAGGUCAUCAGACAAGAUAUCUAAUCUAUUCCUAAGACAGGCAGCCCUAGCAGUCCAAAUCCCCAUGGCCUUUGCAGCGACACGAUGAACUACUUCCUCAUGUACCUCUGUCAAUUCACGUUAGGUUGCAGUUUUUUUAAAGCGAUAUUUCAUGUACAUCAUGACCCUAUUGCUCAAAGCAAGGAAAGUGCUUUGGUUUAUUUAUGACCUACUAACCUUAAAUUAAAAAAAAUACAUCCAAUCUGAAUGUUCACAUAAGCCUGCAGAUCUGAAAUAAAAUUUAAAAUAAAGCUGGCAUUUGUAACAGCUAGAUAAGCCCAAUAAGGGAUUUUAAAAAAAUGAAAGCCAGAUGAAGGAAGAUGAAAGCAUAUUUACCCUGCAUAACCUGCACACAUCAGGAAUCAGGGCUGGAAUCCAGAAAUACCUUUUUUACUUAGAAGUUUCAGCCCAUUUCACAGGCUAGGUGACCAAGGAAAUACUGAGGAUCCAUUAUGGGGGGUGGGGAGGCAUUAAUAACAACCUGCGAAAGUAAUUCCUUCCAAGAUGCAAUCCACCCAGCCACAAGCUCUACACAGCUCCUCUCCUUCCCCUGCACCCCAUCCCAAUUGCCAGAUAUCAACCAGGCAAGCCCCCAACUGAAAUGUGAAGUGACAGAUGGAAGCAGGGAAUAAGGGCAUAGGAAUGAGUACUGAAAGAAAUGGAGAACAGAAAACAAGCUUAUAAUAGGGUAGAUGUUAAAUAUGAGCAACCCUUAAUCAUAAAGUUAAUUCAUUUGGCUAGAACAAAGUUGAACAGAUGCAUGUAAGACUGAGUUGGAGAGCCUUAUUCUCUCAUCACUCAUGCCAGUGUGCAGAGGUCUUCUCCUAACAUCCAUGGAAUUAAACCUUGAAAUUUCAGUACAAAUAAAUGGAGAACUAAAAAUAAUCACAGCUAAAGUAUUGGCAGCAAAUAUCCUCUGCUGCUGUAUUGGGAAAGGAAGGUGGGUUGCCACAUUUAAUUAAAAUGUAUUUGAUUUAGCUAUAUUCAUAAUCAAAGUGGCCUUCAUAAACAAAACACAUCUAGGCCACCAUAAUAGUUUAUUCUGUUCUGGUCUAGUUCUCCAGUAGGCUAUAUUAAUGACUUGUUCUUUUAGCUGUAUUCGAUGGAAAAUACAGUUGAGUCAAACAAUGCAAUAAAUAAAUACCUCUACACGCAGAGCAAUGCAUUGAAAGAAACGGUUAGGACCAAGUCCUUGUCAUAGUCUUUGUUUGCAAAAUAGGCUGGGGCAGCAAACUGAUCAACUCCAGUUCUUACGUGUGGGUUCCCUUAACACAAGUACAGACAAAACCCAAACAUUUAUAAAGCCUUAUAAAUAACAAUGGAGGGGAGACACAGAGAGUAGAGGGCAUCUUUAUCCAAAGGAUAAGGUAAACAUACAGCAAUUCAUGUAAGUCAAUGAAUCAGUCACGGAAUUUCAGCACAGUUAAGAGUGGACCUAGCCUUAGCAGAAAAGAAUUCUGACAAGCUGAGCUUCAAGAACACCUGCAUAAGAACUCUGCUCACAAAUGAAAAUAAGGUAAAAUUUCUAGAUUACCAUGUUUUGUCUUCUUAUACAGCUUCUAAAAUUCUUCUGCAACACAAAACCCACAACCUUAAUUUUUAAGUAUUAUUUAUUUUUAGUAAUAAUUACGACAAUUGAGUUGGAAAGCUCAGAAGAUUAGGAAAAAGUGCUGUGUUACUGUGGAAAUUUUUAAGAAUAAGGACUUCACUGUGCGAUGAUCAGCUGGAUGUGCACAACAUGCUGAAACAAAAAAAAAUUACAAUAAAUAUAGGUCAAGCCUUGACAGUUGCCUUUUUUCCUCCUGAAAACUAUCACAACAGGUUCUGCAUGAGUGAAAAUUUGUAAGGAAAAAAAGGCCUUCUGUCUCUGAGAUAUUUUUUGAAAAAUUAAGCCUUCUCUAAAGAAAAUUUAUUUUUAUCAAUCCUAAACAAGUUUUUAUCCAAUUGAACCAUGUCAAUAGAAGCAAUUUUUCUCAAUUGAGAAAUCUCUAAUUGGCAACACUAAUUUUUAAAACUCUUAUCCAGCUCUGUUCAUUUAUGGGAUCUCAUGUUUUUUCUGUGAAGUUCAGUCUUGUGAAAUAACAGACAACAUUAAUCCACUCGUGCCUGGAUCUCUAACCUUUAUUUUUAAAGCCUGAGUAAGAGAAAAAUAUUUUCUUUUCAUAGAAAGAAGUCUGGGAAACUGCCAGCUCCUUGCAGAAAGACUGAAACAUGAUCAGCAGAGAAGGGUGUUGGUGUCGGUAAGAGAAAAAUGAUUCAAGUUGCAUCAUCUGUAUAAUUAAAAUCACUGCGUGAAUUUUGAUUUUCCCCCCCUACUUUCAGAGAUUUGAGGAUGCAGUCAAGUCAAUGGAGUUCUGUUGUAGUGGUUGCUUCAGUGAACAUUCAACGCUGUCGGUGAGUUUGGAAUUAAAGUGAAAACCAUCGACCGUUGAUUGUACCCUCCAGCUAACCAUCCUCCUCCUUACUUCAUGCUUUCAGGCCUUAACACCGAAGAUAGCAACCUAACCAUCUUAUGAUGUUUCUCCCUCACCCUGCCAAGCUUUACAAAAAGGUCACAAUCAACAUUCAUUGCUGUCGGUGGGUUUAACUAUGUGGACAAGCUCACUGAACAAUGAAUGCAACUGUGGCCCCACAUUGUACAGUUGCUGUUAAGAGGAGCAGCAGCUCUGAAGGCAAUAGUGAGAAGCAAACACUUCUUAUGAGCUACAGUUCUCUGGUCAGAAAAAUAGUUGGGGGUAUCGACUUUUUGCUUGCUUGGUUUUGAGUGUUUAACUUAGCUGACUGGGAAAAAAAACUUGCUGCCUUUUUCUGGAGUAUUGUUCUCACAGGGUUCAGUACCAUGAAAAUGUGAAAAUUCUUAUUUAGUAUGUAUGCAGAAAAAAUGACAGGAUAGGAAGCUCUGUAUAUCCACUCCUAAGGAUUCUGACAUAAGAGGAAAGAAUAUUUAAUUGCCAUUUAACUAGGCAAUGUUGAAGAGUUCAAAAGUUUAGUCUAUACUUAUGACAAUACAACUGGAAACAAAUGGGAUUUAACAGUUAUGGAUAAAAAUUUUACAUCAAAAAAUAUGAAUUAAUUUUACAUUAAGCUGAUUUUAAAAAAAUACUAUUGCAUUUGCUAUUUUUAGGGAUGUGAAAGAUGACAAAGAAAUGUAGAUCUAGAAAUAAUAAUGGAAAAGUGGUUAAAUUUUAAAGUUACAGUAAACUGAAUACCUAUGUCAUGCUCUGAGUUUUGCAAUAAGAAAAUAAAGUGUAAAUAAG